UACGUAGGGAGCAAGCGUUGUCCGGAAUCAUUGGGCGUAAAGCGCGCGUAGGCGGCCUCAUAAGUCCGUUGUGAAAGUCAAAGGCUCAACCUUUGAAAGCCGAUGGAUACUGUGAGGCUAGAGUCCGGAAGAGGCGAGUGGAAUUCCUGGUGUAGCGGUGGGAUGCGCAGAUAUCAGGAGGAACACCAAUAGCGAAGGCAGCUCGCUGGGACGGUACUGACGCUAAGGCGCGAAAGCGUGGGGAGCGAACAGG
rnacentral:rRNA from 1 species